rnacentral:rRNA from 1 species
UACGUAGGGUGCAAGCGUUGUCCGGAAUUACUGGGCGUAAAGGGCGCGUAGGCGGGAUGGCAAGUCGGUCGUGAAAUCCCUCGGCUCAACCGAGGAACGUCGAUCGAUACUGCUGUUCUUGAGGAUUGCAGAGGAGACUGGAAUUCCCGGUGUAGCGGUGAAAUGUGUAGAGAUCGGGAGGAACGACCGGUGGCGAAGGCGGGUCUCUGGGCAAUUCCUGACGCUGAGGCGCGAAAGCGUGGGGAGCAAACAGG